AGCGAACGCUGGCGGCAGGCCUAACACAUGCAAGUCGAACGAACUCUUCGGAGUUAGUGGCGGACGGGUGAGUAACACGUGGGAACGUGCCUCUAGGUUCGGAAUAACUCAGGGAAACUUGUGCUAAUACCGAAUGUGCCCUUCGGGGGAAAGAUUUAUCGCUUUUAGAGCGGCCCGCGUCUGAUUAGCUUGUUGGUGGGGUAAUGGCCCACCAAGGCGACGAUCAGUAGCUGGUCUGAGAGGAUGACCAGCCACAUUGGGACUGAGACACGGCCCAAACUCCUACGGGAGGCAGCAGUGGGGAAUCUUGCGCAAUGGGCGAAAGCCUGACGCAGCCAUGCCGCGUGGAUGAUGAAGGUCUUAGGAUUGUAAAAUCCUUUCACCGGCGAAGAUAAUGACUGUAGCCGGAGAAGAAGCCCCGGCUAACUUCGUGCCAGCAGCAGCCGCAGUAA
rnacentral:rRNA from 1 species